UGUAACUAUACGGUCCCUUACUACAAAAAAAUCCACUUUUUAACAAAAUAUAGCCCAUACAUAUAGUACAGUACAUACACACACAGUAUGCCAAUGAAUUCAAUGUUGGACCCAACCAAUGAAAUAAUAAUCUUUCAAUAUUGGGAAAAAUCUGAAUAUGGUGGACUUAUUGAGAAAGAGUAUAGUAUACAUAAACUUGUGUAAUGCUAAAUGUAAUGGUUAAUUUAAGAAAUUUUUAUCGGUAAUUUUAACAUAUGUAGUGUUCUCUUUACAUGCUUUUUAGAAGCUAACUUGUUGAAAGAAGCUACUGCUCUACACAAAAAUCUUGAGUAUGUAAUUAAAUAAGCUAAAAAAGCAUCAGCCUUAGUAAAAUCCUAGUGCUUAAGGAGAAGGAAGUUCUAGCCUCUAUAAGACCCAAACUAAUUUUUGUAAGUAACAAGAGUAACUUGAGAUUAACAAAAAAGGUGACCUUCAAUCCUACAGGUGGUUUAAUCUAAUGUUAAUUUUUGGUGUUAUUAAGAAGCCUUGUAUAUUAGCAUAGCGAAGAUGAUAACUAUAUAACUCCC
rnacentral:lncRNA from 10 species